rnacentral:rRNA from 1 species
AUGAACGCUAGCUACAGGCUUAACACAUGCAAGUCGAGGGGCAGCAGGAUCUAGCAAUAGAUUGCUGGCGACCGGCGCACGGGUGAGUAACACGUAUCCAACCUGCCGAUAACUCGGGGAUAGCCUUUCGAAAGAAAGAUUAAUACCCGAUGGUAUAAUCAGACCGCAUGGUCUUGUUAUUAAAGAAUUUCGGUUAUCGAUGGGGAUGCGUUCCAUUAGGCAGUUGGUGAGGUAACGGCUCACCAAACCUUCGAUGGAUAGGGGUUCUGAGAGGAAGGUCCCCCACAUUGGAACUGAGACACGGUCCAAACUCCUACGGGAGGCAGCAGUGAGGAAUAUUGGUCAAUGGGCGCAGGCCUGAACCAGCCAAGUAGCGUGAAGGAUGACUGCCCUAUGGGUUGUAAACUUCUUUUAUAUGGGAAUAAAGUUUUCCACGUGUGGAAUUUUGUAUGUACCAUAUGAAUAAGGAUCGGCUAACUCCGUGCCAGCAGCCGCGGUAAUACGGAGGAUCCGAGCGUUAUCCGGAUUUAUUGGGUUUAAAGGGAGCGUAGGUGGACAGUUAAGUCAGUUGUGAAAGUUUGCGGCUCAACCGUAAAAUUGCAGUUGAUACUGGCUGUCUUGAGUACAGUAGAGGUGGGCGGAAUUCGUGGUGUAGCGGUGAAAUGCUUAGAUAUCACGAAGAACUCCGAUUGCGAAGGCAGCUCACUGGACUGCAACUGACACUGAUGCUCGAAAGUGUGGGUAUCAAACAGGAUUAGAUACCCUGGUAGUCCACACAGUAAACGAUGAAUACUCGCUGUUUGCGAUAUACAGUAAGCGGCCAAGCGAAAGCAUUAAGUAUUCCACCUGGGGAGUACGCCGGCAACGGUGAAACUCAAAGGAAUUGACGGGGGCCCGCACAAGCGGAGGAACAUGUGGUUUAAUUCGAUGAUACGCGAGGAACCUUACCCGGGCUUAAAUUGCAUUUGAAUAUAUUGGAAACAGUAUAGCCGUAAGGCAAAUGUGAAGGUGCUGCAUGGUUGUCGUCAGCUCGUGCCGUGAGGUGUCGGCUUAAGUGCCAUAACGAGCGCAACCCUUAUCUUUAGUUACUAACAGGUCAUGCUGAGGACUCUAGAGAGACUGCCGUCGUAAGAUGUGAGGAAGGUGGGGAUGACGUCAAAUCAGCACGGCCCUUACGUCCGGGGCUACACACGUGUUACAAUGGGGGGUACAGAAGGCAGCUACCUGGUGACAGGAUGCUAAUCCCAAAAGCCUCUCUCAGUUCGGAUCGAAGUCUGCAACCCGACUUCGUGAAGCUGGAUUCGCUAGUAAUCGCGCAUCAGCCAUGGCGCGGUGAAUACGUUCCCGGGCCUUGUACACACCGCCCGUCAAGCCAUGAAAGCCGGGGGUACCUGAAGUACGUAACCGCAAGGAGCGUCUUAGGGUAAAACUGGUAAUUGGGGCU